GCGCCCGUCGCCAAGGUGACCCCGCCGCGAGGCCACGCCCCCUUCGAGGAGGCCACGCCCCCUGGUGGUGCCGGCCGGGGGGGGAAUGGCAUUUAAUGGCAAGGGGAAAUUAAAAGGGGCAGGGGAAAGGAACCUCCUCCGGGGCGCUGCAGCAGCUGGGCGGGGGGAGAGGGACGCAGGGAGGGGGUAGGAUGGUUAAACGAGCCCGGAGCGCCAAAGGAAGGAAUAGGGAAAGGGUGAUGGAAAGCCGCUUGUACAGGAGAACCGGCUGCAGUACGACCAUUUCCAAACAGCCCCCAGCUUUACAGCUCAGCACAGCGGAGGACAGGGAGUGGUGAGAGACGCAUGUCAAACUUCCCCAUGGCUCAUAGAGAUACUGAAAACAUUUAGAUCACUUCUACAAGCGUGUUUCUACUCAUCUAACAGAAAUAAAAGGUCUUCGACCAUCACAGCAUGCUCCAAGGUUUCUACCACCAUGUCUGCCAGCCUCACUACGUCAGCCUACAACAAGUAUACCAAAGCACUCAUUUUAAUAACAAACCAAAACAUUUCUUCAGUUUACAGCCUAAAGUGAACAGAUAUUUAAAAACUAACAGAGCCACCCUCCACCAGACUUUCAUUUCAGAAUUCAUUGAUCAGCACUGAAGUGACAUUUACCUGCAUGAGACCAACUUACGCCGUUAGGGCCAGUGCAUGCUUUCCCUCCCACACCCCAAAUUCCAGUUUAGCAUUCAUUACAAACGAGUAAAAAACAUUUUUGUCAUCUUACAGAGCUAUUUUAUGAUGACAACUUUCCCAACUGCAAGUCACUUUUGUUUCAUCUGCAAGGCACAGAG